GGUGAUGUCUUUUGGUUCUGAUUCCACCAGUCCUUGUCCCAGUGGAAUAGAAGUAUUUUGAACAAACUGAACCAGCAGCUGAAAAAACAUACUGAAGAUUAGGUCAAGAGCAGCACAAAUCAUGUAAAAAGCAAAGAAUUGUUUGUCAUCUCUGAAAUACCUACAAACUUCUCAUUCAACAUAUAAUCAACAGCUCUGGAUCAUUGCAAAGUAAGUCCAGUUAGGCUAUAUUUCUUUUUAAUUAACAUUUUACCACUUGAUACUUUAUUAUGGUCUAACAUUUCAAGGUAAUGUUUUCCACACUCAGCCUUUGAUACAGGUAUUUUUUUAAAUCAUUGUCUUUAAAUACUUAACUGAAAGCUGGCCUUUUCUAAAUUAACAAAAAAGCAAUCAGAAGACUAGUUACAAAGAUGUCUAUCACAUGGCUAUUCAAAAGCAGAUAACAAUCAGAGAAACUGUUGGGAUUACAAGGGGAAGAACACAGACAGCCUUACCCAUCCAAACCAACUACUCCUAAAACCAUCAAAUAUGGACAACCAACCCACCAACUAAGGGGAUUAACAGAAGAAACCCUCUCCAAAUUACUACACGAAACAAGGGGGACUAUUGCAUACAGAGGUACAGGACUUAAACUGAGAUGCAUUCCCUGGGGAGGAAUUUGGGACUGGUCAAAAGAUUUUGAGGGAUUUGUACAGGACUUAUUAGGCAUUGUUUAAGGGAAGGGCCUAAGGCAGGAAAAGGAAAAGAUCAAGAUGGAUCAGGGCAGAACAAACAUAAGAAAAUGGAGAGGGGAGGAUAAAAGGGGCCCAUUGCACAUAAGCAGGAAGUUGGUCAAUUCAGUUGUCUGGCACAGCCUAACUCUUACCCUGCAUCCUGUCUUCUUAUUAAACUCCAUUCUUACCUGCUUCCUGUGUGGUCCUGCUCUCUACAGUGGGUCUCUAGUGGCACACACCAAUUUCUAGUGCUUGUCAUAUGCUAAUGAACCCCAAGACAGCCUAGUUAGCAAGUGAAAUGAGAAGUGUGGGGAUAGAUCCCAAAGAAAUCCAUGAAGGUUAUCCUUAGGCAGCAGCCCUUGAACACAGACCCAGGUACUUUGUGCUGCCCAUGUUUAUGAGGAUAAAGCUACAAGCACUCAGCCUGUGUUCAUUUUGAUUUAACAAAGGAAGUGCUGCUGGAAGUUAGGAGACAACGCAGUCCAACUUUUGCAGUGGACUGAACAAAUUCUGUGAACUGCAUGAGCUUUUUUAAACACGGUCUCAAAUCCCUCCCCUGUAGGGAUUUACACUUCAGAAGGACAGAAGGGGGCCAGUUGUAACACACCCAGACACAUACUCCACAUUUCAGUGAAAAUACUGCUCAAACCCUGCAUGUAGGAUCUAUUUGUUUGCCUUUAAGUUCUGUCAAACAAAUUAACUCAUAUACUCACAUCUACAGGGUUUUUUUUAAACACUAAAUGAAGAAAUAUGGACAAUAACAAUAUACUAAAAAGUCAAAUCUCAAAUUCCUUAUCUCUAGGAAACUCCUUGACAAAAAUCCUGCAUUCUGCUGAUUCUGCUGCUGUCUAGCAAACAAUUGUAUGUAGCAAACUUUUAUCUUUGGCAUUUAGAAGGAAAUUGUACAAGACAGUUACUCAAAAGCUACUACCCUCAUUGUGACACAUUUCAACAUGCAGUCACAGAGAGCCCAGAUGGAAUUCUCUGUUCACUGAGAUAGCACAUCAGUGUCAAAAGAAAAAGACUAAAAAAUCCUGAUGUGCCUAUUGUAUAUUUGUGAUUAAAACUCAACAUUCACAGAUAA